UGAGCAAUCUGCCCUUCUCAUCGGAAUAAGCGUUGGAAACGACGUCUAAUGCCGAAUACGACCUCCUUUCGCAUGAUCGGAGGUGGAAAGCUCCGGCGGAGAAGGAUGAGCUCGCGGCCUAUCAGCUAGUUGGUGUGGGUAAUGGCCCACCAAGGCGACGACGGGUAGCCGGCCUGAGAGGGUGACCGGCCACACGUGGGACUGAGACACGGCCCAGACCUCCGUACGGGAGCAG
rnacentral:rRNA from 1 species